rnacentral:misc_RNA from 1 species
CAAGGCCUCUCGGAUCCCGAUCCCUACCACCAUCGACGAGCACGUUCACGGCACACACGACCGACCCACCGGUAGCGAUGGCCUCGACGAGCUUAGAAUCACCUGAAAGGACACGAGUGAAGAACACCGUAUCUGAAAACUACGAGAAGGCAGCAAGACAGCCUGGAUCUGGAUUAAAGGAAACCCUGAAAACGGAAAUAAAAUCCUUUCGUAGCCGAGGUCGGUGCUGUUCGAACAAUCACGCACAAUCACGGCCAGCAUUAUAAAACUGUCCCCGGGGGAAUUCUCG